rnacentral:rRNA from 1 species
GAUGAACGCUGGCGGCGUGCCUAAUACAUGCAAGUCGAGCGAACAGAUAAGGAGCUUGCUCCUUUGACGUUAGCGGCGGACGGGUGAGUAACACGUGGGUAACCUACCUAUAAGACUGGGAUAACUUCGGGAAACCGGAGCUAAUACCGGAUAACAUUUGGAACCGCAUGGUUCUAAAGUGAAAGAUGGUUUUGCUAUCACUUAUAGAUGGACCCGCGCCGUAUUAGCUAUUUGGUAAGGUAACGGCUUACCAAGGCAACGAUACGUAGCCGACCUGAGAGGGUGAUCGGCCACACUGGAACUGAGACACGGUCCAGACUCCUACGGGAGGCAGCAGUAGGGAAUCUUCCGCAAUGGGCGAAAGCCUGACGGAGCAACGCCGCGUGAGUGAUGAAGGGGUUCGGCUCGUAAAACUCUGUUAUUAGGGAAGAACAAACGUGUAAGUAACUGUGCACGUCUUGACGGUACCUAAUCAGAAAGCCACGGCUAACUACGUG